rnacentral:rRNA from 1 species
UGGGGAAUAUUGGACAAUGGGCGCAAGCCUGAUCCAGCCAUGCCGCGUGAGUGAUGAAGGCCCUAGGGUUGUAAAGCUCUUUCACCGGUGAAGAUAAUGACGGUAACCGGAGAAGAAGCCCCGGCUAACUUCGUGCCAGCAGCCGCGGUAAUACGAAGGGGGCUAGCGUUGUUCGGAUUUACUGGGCGUAAAGCGCACGUAGGCGGACUAUUAAGUCAGGGGUGAAAUCCCGGGGCUCAACCCCGGAACUGCCUUUGAUACUGGUAGUCUUGAGUUCGAGAGAGGUGAGUGGAAUUCCGAGUGUAGAGGUGAAAUUCGUAAAUAUUCGGAGGAACACCAGUGGCGAAGGCGGCUCACUGGCUCGAUACUGACGCUGAGGUGCGAAAGCGUGGGGAGCAAACAGG